GACGAACGCUGGCGGCGUGCCUAAUACAUGCAAGUCGAACGGUUUAGUUCCAAGAGGCUUGCCUUUUGGAACUAGACAGUGGCGGACGGGUGAGUAACACGUAGGCAACCUACCUGUCAAACCGGGAUAACCUCGGGAAACCGAAGCUAAACCCGGAUAAGCUCCUUUUUCGCAUGACGGGGGAGUGAAAAGGUGCGACCUGAUGACAGAUGGGCCUGCGGCGCAUUAGCUAGUAGGUAGGGUAACGGCCUACCUAGGCGAUGAUGCGUAGCCGACCUGAGAGGGCGUACGGCCACACUGGGACUGAGAUACGGCCCAGACUCCUACGGGAGGCAGCAGUAGGGAAUCUUCGGCAAUGGGUGAAAGCCUGACCGAGCAACGCCGCGUGAGUGAGGAAGGCCUUCGGGUUGUAAAACUCUGUUGUUUGGGAAGAAGGGAAAGGGUAGGACCCUUAGGUGACGGUACCAAACGAGAAAGCCCCGGCUAACUACGUG
rnacentral:rRNA from 1 species